CCUACGGGGGGCUGCAGUCGAGGAUCUUCGGCAAUGGGGGCAACCCCGACCGAGCGACGCCGCGUGUGCGACGAAGGCCUUCGGGUUGUAAAGCACUGUCGAGGGGGAGAAACGCCCCGCGAGGGGCCUGAUCUAUCCCUGGAGGAAGCUCGGGCUAAGUUCGUGCCAGCAGCCGCGGUAAGACGAACCGAGCGAACGUUGUUCGGAAUCACUGGGCUUAAAGGGCGCGUAGGCGGGCUGCCGCGUCCGGGGUGAAAUCCUCCGGCUCAACCGGG
rnacentral:rRNA from 1 species